rnacentral:rRNA from 3 species
CAAGACAACUUUACGGAGUUGACGAUUGACGGAGCGAAGCGACGUCAAAGCGUUCAUUAAAGUCGAGUUGGCUUAGGGAUACGUUCGUUGGGUAGGGGAGCGUUCUGUAAGCCUGUGAAGGUGUGUCGUGAGGCAUGCUGGAGGUAUCAGAAGUGCGAAUGCUGACAUAAGUAACGAUAAAGCGGGUGAAAAGCCCGCUCGCCGGAAGACCAAGGGUUCCUGUCCAACGUUAAUCGGGGCAGGGUGAGUCGACCCCUAAGGCGAGGCCGAAAGGCGUAGUCGAUGGGAAACGGGUUAAUAUUCCCGUACUUGGUGUUACUGCGAAGGGGGGACGGAGAAGGCUAUGUUGGCCGGGCGACGGUUGUCCCGGUUUAAGCGUGUAGGUGUGUGUUCCAGGUAAAUCCGGUUCACUUUAACACUG